AGGUAACGGCUACCAAGGCGAUGAUGCAUAGCCGAGUUGAGAGACUGAUCGGCCACAUUGGGACUGAGACACGGCCCAAAACUCCUACGGGAGGCAGCAGUAGGGAAUCUUCCACAAUGGACGCAAGUCUGAUGGAGCAACGCCGCGUGAGUGAAGAAGGGUUUCGGCUCGUAAAGCUCUGUUGUUGGUGAAGAAGGACAGGGGUAGUAACUGACCUUUGUUUGACGGUAAUCAAUUAGAAAGUCACGGCUAACUACGUGCCAGCAGCCGCGGUAAU
rnacentral:rRNA from 1 species